rnacentral:tRNA from 1 species
GAUAGGCUCAAUUGGUAGAGUGCUUGCCUUGCGUGCACAAGGGCCUGGGUUCAAUUCCCAGCAUAACA